GACGAACGCUGGCGGCGUGCCUAAUACAUGCAAGUCGAACGCAGAGGGGACGGGUGAGUAACACGUGGGUAACCUCCCAUCAGAGGGGAUAACACUUGGAAACAGGUGCUAAACCGCUACUGAUGGAUGGACCCGCGGUGCAUUAGCUUGUUGGUGAGGUAACGGCUCACCAAGGCCACGAGGCCUAGGCGACCGGAGAGGGUGAUGGGCCACACUGGGACUGAGACACGGCCCAGACUCCUACGGGAGGCAGCAGGAGGGAUUCUUCGGCAAUGGACGAAAGUCUGACCGAACAACGCCGCGUGAGUGAAGAAGGUUUUCGGAUCGUAAAACUCUGUUGUUAGAGAAGCGGUAUCUAACCAGAAAGCCACGGCUAACUACGUGCCAGCAGCCGCGGUAAUUC
rnacentral:rRNA from 1 species